UACGAAGGGUGCUAGCGUUGUUCGGAAUUAUUGGGCGUAAAGCGCGCGCAGGCGGUCUUUUAAGUCUGAUGUGAAAGCCCACGGCUCAACCGUGGAAGGUCAUUGGAAACUGGAAGACUUGAGUGCAGAAGAGAAGAGCGGAAUUCCACGUGUAGCGGUGAAAUGCGUAGAGAUGUGGAGGAACACCGGUGGCGAAGGCGGCUCUCUGGACCGAGACUGACGCUGAGGCGCGAAAGCGUGGGGAGCAAACAGG
rnacentral:rRNA from 1 species